UACGAGGGGGGGCAAGUGUUGUUCGGAAUCACUGGGCGUAAAGGGGAGCGUAGGCGGGCUUUUAAGUUAGGUGUUUAAUCCCGGGGCCCAACCCCGGACCGGCACCUAAAACUGGGAGUCUUGAAUAGUGGAGAGGUCAGUGGAAUUGGGGGUGUAGCGGUGGAAUGCGUAGAGAUCCCCAAGAACACCAGUUGCGAAGGCGGCUGACUGGACACAUAUUGACGCUGAGGCUCGAAAGCAUGGGGAGCAAACAGG
rnacentral:rRNA from 1 species